AUUGAACGCUGGCGGCAUGCCUUACACGUGCAAGUCGAACGGUAACAGGUCUUCGGACGCUGACGAGUGGCGAACGGGUGAGUAAUACAUCGGAACGUGCCCAGUCGUGGGGGAUAACUACUCGAAAGAGUAGCUAAUACCGCAUACGAUCUGAGGAUGAAAGCGGGGGACCUUCGGGCCUCGCGCGAUUGGAGCGGCCGAUGGCAGAUUAGGUAGUUGGUGGGAUAAAAGCUUACCAAGCCGACGAUCUGUAGCUGGUCUGAGAGGACGACCAGCCACACUGGGACUGAGACACGGCCCAGACUCCUACGGGAGGCAGCAGUGGGGAAUUUUGGACAAUGGGCGAAAGCCUGAUCCAGCAAUGCCGCGUGCAGGAUGAAGGCCUUCGGGUUGUAAACUGCUUUUGUACGGAACGAAAGAGCUUCUCCUAAUACGAGAGGCCCAUGACGGUACCGUAAGAAUAAGCACCGGCUAACUACGUGCCAGCCGCCGCCGUAA
rnacentral:rRNA from 1 species